AGCAUAUCAAUAAGCGGAGGAAAAGAAACUAACAAGGAUUCCCCUAGUAACUGCGAGUGAAGCGGGAAAAGCUCAAAUUUAAAAUCUGGCAGCCUUUGGUUGUCCGAGUUGUAAUCUAGAGAAGUGUUAUCCGCGCUGGACCGUGUACAAGUCUCCUGGAAUGGAGCGUCAUAGAGGGUGAGAAUCCCGUCUUUGACACGGACUGCCAGGGCUUUGUGAUGCGCUCUCAAAGAGUCGAGUUGUUUGGGAAUGCAGCUCAAAAUGGGUGGUAAAUUCCAUCUAAAGCUAAAUAUUGGCGAGAGACCGAUAGCGAACAAGUACCGUGAGGGAAAGAUGAAAAGAACUUUGGAAAGAGAGUUAAACAGUACGUGAAAUUGCUGAAAGGGAAACGCUUGAAGUCAGUCGCGUUGUCCAGGGAUCAACCUUGCUUUUGCUUGGUGCAUUUUCUGGUUGACGGGUCAGCAUCAAUUUUGACCAUUGGAAAAAGAUUAGGGGAAUGUGGCAUCUUCGGAUGUGUUAUAGCCCUUGGUUGCAUACAAUGGUUGGGAUUGAGGAACUCAGCACGCCGCAAGGCCGGGUUUUUAACCACGUACGUGCUUAGGAUGCUGGCAUAAUGGCUUUAAUCGACCCGUCUUGAAACACGGACCAAGGAGUCUAACAUGCCUGCGAGUGUUUGGGUGGAAAACCCGAGCGCGUAAUGAAAGUGAAAGUUGAGAUCCCUGUCGUGGGGAGCAUCGACGCCCGGACCAGACCUUUUGUGACGGCUCCGCGGUAGAGCAUGUAUGUUGGGACCCGAAAGAUGGUGAACUAUGCCUGAAUAGGGUGAAGCCAGAGGAAACUCUGGUGGAGGCUCGUAGCGAUUCUGACGUGCAAAUCGAUCGUCAAAUUUGGGUAUAGGGGCGAAAGACUAAUCGAACCAUCUAGUAGCUG
rnacentral:rRNA from 1 species